rnacentral:rRNA from 1 species
CGGACGGGUGAGUAAUGUCUGGGAAACUGCCUGAUGGAGGGGGAUAACUACUGGAAACGGUAGCUAAUACCGCAUAACGUCGCAAGACCAAAGAGGGGGACCUUCGGGCCUCUUGCCAUCGGAUGUGCCCAGAUGGGAUUAGCUAGUAGGUGGGGUAACGGCUCACCUAGGCGACGAUCCCUAGCUGGUCUGAGAGGAUGACCAGCACACUGGAACUGAGACACGGUCCAG